UAAUGAAUGCGGCGUGCUAUACAUGCAGUCGAGCGAACUAUGGGAGCUUGCUCCCUGAUAUUGGUGGCGGACGGGUGAGUGAACGUGGGCAACCUGCCUGUCUGACUGGGAGAACUUCCGGAAACCGGAGCUAGUACCGGAUACAUUCUUUUCUCGCACGAAAGAACAUGGAAAGACGGUUUACGCUGUCUCUUAUUUAUGGGCCCGCGGCGCACUAACUAGUUGGUGAGGUAAUGGCUCGCCCACGCGACCAUGCAUACCCAACCUAACAGGGUGAUCGACCACACUGGGACUGACACACACCCCACACUCAUACCGGAGGCAGCAAUAGGGAAUCUUCCUCCCUGGACGAAAGUCUGACUGACCAACCCCCCCCGAACGAAUAAUGACUUCUUUUCGAACAGUUCUGUUGUUAGGGAAGAACAAAUACCUGAGUAACUGCUGGCACCUUGACUGAACCUACCCGAAAAGCCACCCCUAACUACCUGCCUGCCACCGCGCUAAUACAUACGUGGGAAGCGUUGUCCGGAAUUAUUGAGCGUAAAGCGCGCGCACGUGGUUCCUUAAUUCUGACGUGUGAGCCCAGGGCUCACCCGUGCACGGUCCUUGGAAACUGGUGAACUUGAUUGCUGAAAAAGAAGAUGGAAUUCCUCCUGUAGCAGUGAAAUGCUUAGAAAUUUGGAGGAACACCACUGGCGAAGGCGACUUUCUUGUCUGUAACUGAUACUGAUGCGCGAAAGCGUGGGGAGCAACAAAGAUGAUAUACCCUGCUAGUCCACCCCGUAAACAACGAUUGCUGCUUGUUAGAGGGUUUCUCCCCUCUAUUGCUGCAGCUAACGCAUUAAUCACUCCUCCUGCGGAGUAGUGCCGCCGCGCUGAUACUCAUCGGAAUUGAUGGGGGCCCGCCCAACCAGUGGAGCAGGUGGGUUGAUUUCUAAGCAACGACCAAGAACCAUUACCUAGGUCUGUGACAUCCUCUGACUGCCCUUAGUAGAUAGGUGCGUGUCCUCUUCUCUGGGGACAGACUGACAGGGGGGGUGCAUGGGUUUGUCCUUCAACUCGC
rnacentral:rRNA from 1 species